GCCACCUUGAGGAAAGGCUGGGAAAAACGAUACCUAAAAGGGGUUGUCAGUCCAUCAGUUCUCUGUUUCAGGAAUGCAGGCCCUGGCCAGCUGUGUGUCCUAUCCCGGCCCAGCUGUGUUGAUCUAACGCGCCAGUCCCAGACUUACUGGCGCCAGCCUCCCGACGUCAUCCAUUCACCCCGACGCGCACUCCCCUUUCCUUGGCAGACCGCCCGCCCUCCCCCGUGAACCAUCAGAAAGGGAGGGGGGGAGCAUAGGCGCUCAGCGAUCCGAUUGGCUGCGCGCUUCUGUCACUCAGGGAGAUAAAGCUGCUCCUCUUUACACCCCAGAAGGCAUCGGCCACAAGGUGCUCCUGCCCAUGUCCUUGACUGGGAAGAUUUUACCGCACAAAGAACUAAAGCCACAGAACUGUAUGACAGGUGGGCCGAAACCCACAGAAGGUCACUAAACCCAUGGCCACGACGAGGGAAAAACAGCUCUUCAGAGAAGACCCGGCCAAGAGAGAGGCCGCCAGGUGCUGGUCAUACUUUUGUUUUGUCGUUUUCAUCAAGUGACUGGAACAGUCGGUUUACUCUGGAGCCAUCCGAUGGGGAGGAACAUCUGGUUUUGUGUAAGCAAGACCACACUUGGUGCUUGCAGUUGGUCUGUUUGGUGCUUUGGAUUAAAAGAAAUAGGGUUAAUUUUUAGCAAGAAAAUGAUGUGCAGUAAUGUGGAUUGGUAAUAGAACAACCAAUAAGUGAUAUUUCAUAUGAAAUAAAUUCAGAGAAUAAUUUGUUAUUGUGUAGUUUGGGUGAUUUGACUGGACAAUUACAAUUAAAGCCGUUUUGAAGAAAAUAUUCUGUAAUUUAUUAACAAGAGACUUUGAUAGUGGGUGGAAUCUAAGGCUGAUUGUUGGUACUUUUUUGGCUAGAUAGCAUCACAUGCAGGUGUGGAGUCUGCAAACUAGAGUUUUGUUUUUUGUGAAAAUGUUUGCUAAUUUUGGUGAUACUUGACCAACCAAAUUCUCAUCCCCAAGUCGUCACAUAUUAAUGUUUGGUUAUGGCCCCUUUCACGUCACUUUUUGAUGUUUUGGGUGUCCCCAACUCGUCAUUUUUUAACAUGCUGACUGUUCGCAACCCAUGGGACGUGGUACCGGAUG